rnacentral:rRNA from 1 species
AAGUCGUAACAAGGUUUCCGUAGGUGAACCUGCGGAAGGAUCAUUAUCGAGUUAGGGUCUUCUAGGCCCGAUCUCCAACCCUGUGUCUAUUAUACCACGUUGCUUCGGCGGGCCCGUCUCACGACCGCCGGAGGGUGAUUAUCACCCUCUGGCCCGCGCCCGUCGAUGGCCUAAUCUAAAACUCUGUAUAACUGUGUUUGUCUGAGUAAACCAAAAAAUAAAUAAAAACUUUCAACAACGGAUCUCUUGGUUCUGGCAUCGAUGAAGAACGCAGCGAAAUGCGAUAAGUAAUGCGAAUUGCAGAAUUCCGUGAGUCAUCGAAUCUUUGAACGCACAUUGCGCCCUUUGGUAUUCCGAAGGGCAUGCCUGUUCGAGCGUCAUUAUCACCCCUCAAGCCUGGCUUGGUGUUGGACUCUCGGUCUGUUACAGGACCGGUCCCAAAGAUAAUGGCAGGUUGGUCGCGACCUCGGUACACUGAGCUUUCACAAGCACGUACUUGCAGGCGGCGAGCAGCCUGGUCUACCCCCCAAUUUUUAUAAGGUUGACCUCGGAUCAGGUAGGGAUACCCGCUGAACUUAA